GCUUCCAGGUGGGGCCUCUGGGUCACCUCCCACCCGUGUUUAUUUACCUUGUUGCUUCGGCGGGCCCGCCUUAACUGGCCGCCGGGGGGCUCACGCCCCCGGGCCCGCGCCCGCCGAAGACACCCUCGAACUCUGUCUGAAGAUUGUAGUCUGAGUGAAAAUAUAAAUUAUUUAAAACUUUCAACAACGGAUCUCUUGGUUCCGGCAUCGAUGAAGAACGCAGCGAAAUGCGAUACGUAAUGUGAAUUGCAAAUUCAGUGAAUCAUCGAGUCUUUGAACGCACAUUGCGCCCCCUGGUAUUCCGGGGGGCAUGCCUGUCCGAGCGUCAUUGCUGCCCUCAAGCACGGCUUGUGUGUUGGGCCCCGUCCUCCGAUUCCGGGGGACGGGCCCGAAAGGCAGCGGCGGCACCGCGUCCGGUCCUCGAGCGUAUGGGGCUUUGUCACCCGCUCUGUAGGCCCGGCCGGCGCUUGCCGAUCAACCCAAAUUUUUAUCCAGGUUGACCUCGGAUCAGGUAGGGAUACCCGCUGAACUUAAGCAUAUCAAUAAGCGGAGGAA
rnacentral:rRNA from 1 species